rnacentral:rRNA from 1 species
UACGUAGGGUGCGAGCGUUAUUCGGAUUUAUUGGGCGUAAAGGGUGCGCAGGCGGUACGCUAAGUCAACUGUUAAAUCCCCCAGCCUAACUGGGGAUCGGCGGUAGAUACUGGCGUACUAGAGGGUGGAAGAGAGAAGUGGAAUUCUUGGAGUAGCGGUAAAAUGCGUAGAUCUCAAGAGGAACACCGAUGGCGAAGGCAGCUUCUUGGUCCACAUCUGACGCUCAUGCACGAAAGCGUGGGGAGCAAACAGG